GUGAGGAAUAUUGGUCAAUGGACGCGAGUCUGAACCAGCCAAGUAGCGUGAAGGAUGACUGCCCUAUGGGUUGUAAACUUCUUUUAUAAGGGAAUAAAGUGAGGGACGUGUCCCUUUUUGUAUGUACCUUAUGAAUAAGGAUCGGCUAACUCCGUGCCAGCAGCCGCGGUAAUACGGAGGAUCCAAGCGUUAUCCGGAUUUAUUGGGUUUAAAGGGAGCGUAGGUUGUCAUAUAAGUCAGCUGUGAAAGUUUACGGCUCAACCGGGAAAGUGCAGUUGAUACUGUAUGUCGUGAGUGUACAAGAGGUGGGCGGAAUUCGUGGUGUAGCGGUGAAAUGCUUAGAUAUCACGAAGAACUCCAAUUGCGAAGGCAGCUCACUGGGGUACAACUGACACUGAGGCUCGAAAGUGUGGGUAUCAAACAGGAUUAGAAACCCUAGUAGUCC
rnacentral:rRNA from 1 species